GGAUUAGAUACCCUGGUAGUCCACGCCGUAAACGCUGAAUACUAGGUGUCGGGGGUCGAACCUCGGUGCCGUCGUUAACACAUUAAGUAUUCCGCCUGGGGAGUACGCACGCAAGUGUGAAACUCAAAGGAAUUGACGGGGACCUGCACAAGCAGCGGAGCAUGUGGUUUAAUUCGAAGCAACGCGAAGAACCUUACCAAAUCUUGACAUCCUCAUGACCAUCAUUUAAUCAUGAUUUCUUUUCGGAGCAUGAGAGACAGGUGGUGCAUGGUUGUCGUCAGCUCGUGCCG
rnacentral:rRNA from 1 species